UACGAAGGGGGCUAGCGUUGCUCGGAAUCACUGGGCGUAAAGCGCACGUAGGCGGCUUUUUAAGUCAGGGGUGAAAUCCUGGAGCUCAACUCCAGAACUGCCUUUGAUACUGAGAGGCUUGAGUCCGGGAGAGGUGAGUGGAACUGCGAGUGUAGAGGUGAAAUUCGUAGAUAUUCGCAAGAACACCAGUGGCGAAGGCGGCUCACUGGCCCGGUACUGACGCUGAGGUGCGAAAGCGU
rnacentral:rRNA from 1 species